rnacentral:rRNA from 1 species
AACGCGAAGAACCUUACCUGGUCUUGACAUGUCGAGGAUUCUGCAGAGAUGCGGAAGUGCCUUCGGGAACUCGAACACAGGUGCUGCAUGGCUGUCGUCAGCUCGUGUCGUGAGAUGUUGGGUUAAGUCCCGCAACGAGCGCAACCCUCAUUUUUAGUUGCCAGCAUUAAGUUGGGCACUCUAAAGAGACUGCCGGUGAUAAGCCGGAGGAAGGUGGGGAUGACGUCAAGUCCUCAUGGCCCAUAUGACCAGGGCUACACACGUACUACAAUGGAUGUGACAGAGGGAAGCGAAGCCGCGAGGUGAAGCUAAGCUCAAAAAAGCAUUCGUAGUCCGGAUUGGAGUCUGCAACUCGACUCCAUGAAGUUGGAAUCGCUAGUAAUCGCGGAUCAGAAUGCCGCGGUGAAUACGUUCCCGGGCCUUGUACACACCGACGCGUA